rnacentral:antisense_RNA from 1 species
AACCCAAGUAACUUGGAAGACAGUUUCCGCUGCCGUGCGAGUCUUCCUGUUUGUUUUUAUCCAAGGUCCAGCAAAAUUCGCCCCCAAGGAGAAAGCGCCUGUGCACCAAAGCUUUCCUUAAGAGACUUGUCCACUUGCUCCUCGACAAGCCACGCCAUAUGAGCCCCAUGCAUGAGUGCGGCUGGAAAGGCCGGCAGAGCCGAUACCCGACAGUUGUUUCCUUCACUGGGCAAACAGCAUGGUCACGGCUGUCACCGCGUGCCUCGGCGUUGUUCCCAAGGAAAGCGGAAUGCAUUUUCUGCAAGGCGCGUCAUGGCUUUUAUCUCCGAGGAGCUCCGGCAGGGUCAGAAGCCUUGCUCUCGUUCACCAGUGCCGACUGCCAAGGCUGAAACUGGUGAUGAGGUCAUGGGCACCCGGAGGCAGCAGCCUGAGAAACACCCUAGAGACCUGUGACAUCUCGGCCCACACCCCACAUUAGACCUCAAGAUAUAUCCAAAGUCUCUUUCCCGCCCAUCUAGACAGGAAUCUUGGAAAGUUUAUUUUUGGCCAUCAAGAUUGCUGAAAUUCUUGUUGACUGAACGGGUCAGGCUGCCCUGCAUUCCAAACGCUGUCCCUCCAACUCAAAGUUGGGCAGAAAAGGGUGUAAACACGUGCAGUCCAUGGUCCAGUUUAAUCAGCCACUACACAAACUUCCCAAAAUGUUGACGGCUUUGCUAAACACCAAGGAACAUGGUAAGAAACCAUUCCUAGCCUCACUAAUCUAUACUUGUAAAUGUAGAGGUCUUCAAAAAUGCCAGAAAUUUUUAGUAACAUCAAUGAUAACAUCUUUAAAGUAUCUGGUAUAGUGCCACAACCGGCACAGAAGAAAUGGAAGAAAUCAUAAACAUCAGGCUUUAGACAAUGGUUUUCUCUUUAGAAUUCAACUGUAUGAAAAGAACAAAUUUAACAAAGAAGUAUGUGUAGAUGAUACAUAAGUAUCAAUUAAGGCUUCUAAGUAAAGUGCCACACAUCUUGCAACCCAAAGCUAUCUGAACUAGAAAAGAGCUUUCUGCAAACCAAACCCAUAUUCCUUUUUGUUCUUCAUAAAAAUGGUUAAAGUCAUUUUUGUUUUAAAGUCAUGUUGUAAUUGUUUUGCUUUUGGACAAAGUAUUAUUUAUUCUUUUAAGAAAUGUGGGCCAGGCGUGGUGGCUCACGCCUGUAAUCCCAGCACUUUGGGAGGCCGAGGCGAGCGGAUCACGAGGUCAGGAGUUCGAGACCAGCCUGGCCAAUAUGGUGAAACCCCGUCUUUAUUAAAAAUACAAAAAUUAGCCUGGUGUGGCACGUGUCUGUAGUCCCAGCUACUCGGGAGGCUGAGGCAGAAGAAUCACUUGAACCCGGGAGGCAGAGGUUGCAGUGAGUCCAGAUCGUGCCACUGUACUCCAGCCUGGGCAACAGAGCAAGACUCCGUCUC